GUCCCUGUAAUAAGUGCUCUGUAUAAUACAUUGGUAAUCAGAAGGUUGCUGGUUUGAUCCCCACAGUCACCACCAUUGUGUCCUUGAGUAAGACACUUAACUCCAGGUUGCUCUGGGGGGAUUGUCCCUGUAAUAAGUGCUCUGUAUAAUACAUUGGUAAUCAGAAGGUUGCUGGUUUGAUCCUCACAGUCACCACCAUUGUGUCCUUGAGUAAGACACUUAACUCCAGGUUGCUCCGGGGGGAUUGUCCCUGUAAUAAGUGCUCUGUAUAAUACAUUGGUAAUCAGAAGGUUGCUGGUUUGAUCCUCACAGUCACCACCAUUGUGUCCUUGAGUAAGACACUUAACUCCAGGUUGCUCCGGGGGGAUUGUCCCUGUAAUAAGUGCUCUGUAUAAUACAUUGGUACUCAGGAGGUUGCUGGUUCGAUCCCCACAGUCACCACCAUUGUGUCCUUGAGUAAGACACUUAACUCCAGGUUGCUCUGGGGGGAUUGUCCCUGUAAUAAGUGCUCUGUAUAAUACAUUGGUACUCAGAAGGUUGCUGGUUUGAUCCCCACAGUCACCACCAUUGUGUCCUUGAGUAAGACACUUAACUCCAGGUUGCUCCGGGGGGAUUGUCCCUGUAAUAAUCGCACUGUAUAAUACAUUGGUACUCAGAAGGUUGCUGGUUUGAUCCCCACAGUCACCCCAUUGUGUCCUUGAGUAAGACACUUAACUCCAGGUUGCUCUGGGGGGAUUGUCCCUGUAAUAAGUGCUCUGUAUAAUACAUUGGUAAUCAGAAGGUUGCUGGUUUGAUCCCCACAGUCACCACCAUUGUGUCCUUGAGUAAGACACUUAACUCCAGGUUGCUCCGGGGGGAUUGUCCCUGUAAUAAGUGCUCUGUAUAAUACAUUGGUACUCAGAAGGUUGCUGGUUUGAUCCCCACAGUCACCACCAUUGUGUCCUUGAGUAAGACACUUAACUCCAGGUUGCUCCGGGGGGAUUGUCCCUGUAAUAAUCGCACUGUAUAAUACAUUGGUACUCAGAAGGUUGCUGGUUUGAUCCCCACAGUCACCCCAUUGUGUCCUUGAGUAAGACACUUAACUCCAGGUUGCUCCGGGGGGAUUGUCCCUGUAAUAAGUGCUCUGUAUAAUACAUUGGUAAUCAGAAGGUUGCUGGUUUGAUCCUCACAGUCACCACCAUUGUGUCCUUGAGUAAGACACUUAACUCCAGG